UGGGGAAUCUUGCGCAAUGGGCGAAAGCCUGACGCAGCAACGCCGCGUGGGGGAUGAAGGCUUUCGGGUUGUAAACCCCUUUCAGCAGGGACGAUUGUGACGGUACCUGCAGAAGAAGGACCGGCCAACUACGUGCCAGCAGCCGCGGUAAUACGUAGGGUCCAAGCGUUGUCCGGAUUUAUUGGGCGUAAAGAGCUCGUAGGCGGUUCGCUAAGUCGGAUGUGAAAACUCGGGGCUCAACCCCGAGACGCCAUCCGAUACUGGCGUGACUUGAGUCUGGUAGGGGAGAUCGGAAUUCCUGGUGUAGCGGUGAAAUGCGCAGAUAUCAGGAGGAACACCGGUGGCGAAGGCGGAUCUCUGGGCCAGUACUGACGCUGAGGAGCGAAAGCGUGGGGAGCAAACAGGAUUAGAUACCCCCGUAGUCC
rnacentral:rRNA from 1 species